rnacentral:lncRNA from 1 species
UUUUUAUUGAUAUAUAACAAGUAAAUUAUGCGGUUAACAAAGUAGGUUAUGUAUAUGCUGAUAGGCGAUGCAAUUGUCACCUUAACACAAUACUUGAAAAUUAUAGAUUAUAAUGAAAAUAUAUGUAAUGGCUUGUGCCAAAACUAAAUAACACAAUACUUGAAAAUUGUGAUUUACAAGAUAUAGGUUAUAAUGCCGAAAGGCGAAACAAAAUAUGUAAUGGCUUGUGCCAAAACUAAAUAACACAAUACUU